rnacentral:rRNA from 1 species
GACGGAGGAUGCAAGUGUUAUCCGGAAUCACUGGGCGUAAAGCGUCUGUAGGUUGUUUAAAAAGUCUGCAGUUAAAGGUUGAAGCUUAACUUCAAAAAUGCCGUAGAAACUUUUAAACUAGAGGAUGGUAGGGGUAGAGGGAAUUUCCAGUGGAGCGGUGAAAUGUGUAGAUAUUGGAAAGACCACCGAUGGCGAAGGCACUCUACUGGGCCAUGACUGACACUGAGAGGCGAAAGCUAGGGGAGCAAAUGGG